CACCUCCAACAGUGCCUAUUUCAAGCUGUGCAGUGUUCUAAUGAGAACUGUCAGGAACAAGUCCUUCGGAAAGAUCUGAAAGAACAUUUGAGUGCACAUUGCCAUUUUCGAGAGGAAAAAUGCCUUUAUUGCAAAAAAGAUGUGGUAGUAAUCUAUCUACAGAAUCAUGAAGAAAACUUGUGUCCUGAGUACCCAGUAUCUUGUCCUAACAGGUGUUUGCAGAUUAUUCCAAGAACUGAGGUGGAUGAACACCUCGCUGUGUGUCCUGAAGCUGAACGAGACUGUCCUUUUAAGCACUAUGGAUGUACUGUAAAGGAUAAACGGGGGAACCUGCAGGAGCAUGAGCAUUCAGCCUUACGGGACCACAUGCUUCUGGUUUUAGAAAAGAACUUCCAAUUAGAAGAACAGGUAAAUAUUCAAGGGUUCACACGUAACGGAAGGAAGCACAAUUGCUGGGAUUGGUAACUGUUGGUAUUUUUACAUUCUCCUCUGUUUCAGUACAAGUCGGCUGGAGGUAGAUGUUUUUCUACUAAGCAGCCAGGCAGACUCAAUAGGAUUAUAGAACAUUAGAACUGGAAGGUGCCUUUGAGGUCUUUGGGUCCAACUGUCUCAUUCAACAGAUGAAGUGACUAAGCUCAAAGAAAUUUUGAUGUGUUUGUAACUUGUAAGUGGCAGAAUUGAAUCUAAAACCCAUGUCCCCUGAUUCUCAGUCCAGUGCUCCGCAUGAAAUACCCUACAGCCUCUCUGCAGCCUAACUUAACACACCUUCUGGUUAGUAUUUGGCACCUGGUAGGUGACGAGUAGGCGUUUGAUGUUUUUUAAUUAGCCUAGUGUUGCUUUGAAACAACAGUUGACUAUCUGUUCUAGGCAUUAUGGCUUUUAUAUAUUUUGCAGUAAGUCUUAACUCCUGCCCCUGAGAAGCUAUACAGCCUGCUAAAUGCAUACAUCCCUCUUUAUCUCACUGAGUUGGGAUUAUCAAGUGAAAUUGUGUGUGCGAAUGCCUGCCACAGUCCCUGGAAUAUUCAUAAUGGACCUCAAUAAAUGCUGAUGCUGUGGAGUAAUUAUUCUAAAAGUUAAUUAUUUUGUUAGAACCUCUCAGAGGAUCAGACUUCGCAGGCCCAUGGCAGGAAGAGAGGGAGCCAAAUUCUACUACUGCCAAUCAUUUUCUGAUGUCUGGUUCCGUAUUAAAGGAGGUGUGUGAGUUUCAAGGUCAGAUCCUGGAGAAAAUUGGGAAGACCAGUUAAACUGUAACUUUGGUAGAGGGCACGCUGCCUGGUAACCAUUCCCAAGUUCUUUCUGUACCACUUGCUUCAUCCGUCCAUUCAUUCAUUCGUUCAACAAACACCUGCCGUAUGUCAGGCAUGAGGUUAGUUGCUAGGGGCUCUGAGUGGAGGAGGACACGGCUUCUGCCCUUGAAGAACUCACGAAAAUGCAAAUAGAUAAGUUGCUGUGCCCUGGGACAUGCUGUGGCUCAGUCUGGGGUACAGAGGCUGCAGCGAUUUCCUCCGUGGGGGUUGGGGGAGGCUCUUCAAGGGAGCACAUCCGAGCUUCGCUUUGAAGGAAGAGAAGAUUCGUCAGCCUAAAUGUUGUGGAAAGAGGGUGUUCCAGAAGAGGAAAGACAGGGAGGCAUGAGGCUGAUGGUUCAAGGAACGGGGGUUUUGGGGUGGUGAGGGUCCUGAGUGUGAGACGGGGAGAGCUGGAGACUGGUAUGCUGGAUCCACAUAGCAAUGGCCUUCCAUGUAAGCUAAGAAGUUGCAGAUACUGUACAUUCAAUUAUUUUUUUUAUUCAUUCAUAUUCUGCCUUGUUUCAGAAAGGAUUUAAGGGCCCAAGUUUGAACUAAUGUUUGUCAGUAAUAGGGAGCUAAUAAUGGAGGUUUUGAAAUAGGAAAAUAUAGGUUUCCCCCACUAUGGGAAAGUAGAGCAAUCCUAUGAAACCUUUCAUAGGCUGAAGGGGUGUAAAGCAAAGAAGAGGUUACCAUUUCGUAAAAAGCAAAAAUCCUCUUUGACUUCUUUCGGUUAGUGAAAACAGGUACUGACGUAGGUCUUUCAUAAAAACAAAGUGGCAUUAGGUGAACUUUUGGAUAGUGGGGGCAGGCAAGGACCAGUACGUGGCCAGCUAACUGUUUGUUUGGCUUUGAAAAGUAAGACAGCUGUGGGACGCCUGGGUGGUUCAGUCGGUUAAGCAUCUGCCUUUGCAUCAGGUCACGAUC